GUGCUCAGAAGGGCUAUCGUUGUUAUUCACCUGAUCUUCGUAGGUACCUUAUGUCAGCCGAUGUCACAUUUUUUGAGUCUAAACCUUUCUUUACCUUAAGCCUGUAAGUUUCACGAUUCCGGACCGGAACCGCGGUUCUGGCGGUUCUGCCGGUUCCCGCGGUUCCGGUUCCGGCGGUUCCCCCGAACCGUGAUGUCUCGGUUUUACCCGUUGGAACCGCGGAACC
rnacentral:lncRNA from 1 species